rnacentral:rRNA from 1 species
GACAAACGCUGGCGGGGUGCGUGAGACAUGCAAGUCGAACGAGGAUCCUCCGAGCUUGCUUGGAGGUCUCCUAGUGGCGGACGGCUGAGUAACGCGUAGGUGACCUGCCCGGAAGUGGGGAAUAACUGCCCGAAAGGGUGGCUAAUACCGCAUGUGGUCGGCGAUUCGAUUCGUCGUCUAAAGGAGUAAUCCGCUUCCGGAGGGGCCUGCGUCCGAUUAGCUAGUUGGUGGGGUAACGGCUCACCAAGGCGACGAUCGGUAGCUGGUCUGAGAGGAUGAUCAGCCAGACUGGGACUGAGAACGGCCCAGACUCCUACGGGAGGCAG